rnacentral:rRNA from 1 species
AGGAUGAACGCUGGCGGUAUGCUUAACACAUGCAAGUCGCACGGCUGGGGUAACUCAGCAGUGGCGGACGGGUGAGUAACGCGUAGGUAUCUAUCUCUGGGUGGGGGACAACCGUGGGAAACUACGGCUAAUACCGCAUGAAGCCUGAGGGCCAAAGCAGCGAUGCGCCUGGAGAGGAGCCUGCGUACGAUUAGCUUGUUGGUGAGGUAAUGGCUCACCAAGGCGACGAUCGUUAGCUGGUCUGAGAGGAUGAUCAGCCACACUGGGACUGAGACACGGCCCAGACUCCUACGGGAGGCAGCAGUGGGGAAUAUUGGACAAUGGGCGCAAGCCUGAUCCAGCAAUGCCGCGUGAGUGAAGAAGGUCUUCGGAUUGUAAAGCUCUUUCGACGGGGACGAUGAUGACGGUACCGUAGAAGAGCCCCGGCUAACUUCGUGCCAGCAGCCGC